UUUUUUUUUUUUUUUUUAAUAUCAGUGAAUGCCUCUUAGCACGAGUACGGUUUUACUCCACUACCUGGAUUCUUUUGUUGGUAUAUUGUUAUCUAUCUAAUCAUCUACAGCAGCAAACUUGGGGUCUUAAAAGCAUCAAAGUCUUGUUGAUUUUGCCCCUUCAAUGUUUUCCAGCCAUUUAUUUUCCUUAUGUUCAAACUGUCUCCUCAGUUGCUAACAUCCAGAUUUUUCCAAGUUUCUAUACAUCAAUUUUGCUUUCCAGUUUCUCUCUACUCCAAUUCAUUUUAAAUGUUACUUUCAGUAUCAUUUUCCAAAAAUAGUGGUUUUUUUUUUUUUUUUGUCUUUUUGCCACUUCCUGGGCCGCUCCCGUGGCACAUGGAGGUCCCCAGGCUAGGGGUCCAAUUGGAGCUAUAGCCACCGGCCUACGCCAGAGCCACAGCAGCGCAGGAUCCAAGCCGCAUCUGCAAUGUACACCACAGCUCACAGCAACGCCGGAUCUUUAACCCACUGAGCAAGGCCAGGGAUCGAACCCGCAACCCCAUGGUUCCUAGUCAGAUUCGUCAACCACUGUGCCACGAUGGGAACUCCAAAAUAAAGUUCUUAGCCCAUUAUUUUUUUUUACAGUAGCCACUAGCUGUAUGUGGCUGUAUGUAAUUAAAUGUAAAAUUAAUUGAAAGUAAAUAAAAGAAACUGAGUUCCUAAUCACAGCUCCAUUUCAAGUACUCAAAUGCCAUGUGUUGAUAGUGACUACUGACUGAAUUGGAUAUCACCAAUCUAAAAUAUUUCCAUCAUCACAAAAAAUUCUACUAGACAACUCUGCCUUAGAAUGUUAUACAAGUCCUUCCAUGGCUGUGUUCUAGCUUGCUUUUCCAGCUUCAUUCUCCCAUGGUGUCAGCACACCUCUGUGAUCCUGUCAUGUCCAUGUACUUUUUAUUGAAAGCAUCAUUCAGUCAACAGACUUUGAUUGGGCACUUUUGGUAUGCUAGGCACUAUUCUAUUAGAAGCACUACUGUGAAUUAUAGCAAGAUAAAACAGAACUAAUCUCAAGGAGUUAGUGUUGGUGGGGAGAUUAUAAACAUCCAAAAUACUAAAAAUGUGAUAUAUCUGGUGGCAAGGGAUCCUAGAGAGAAAAUAAAAAGUGGUAAUGUGCAGAGAACAAUGGGUGAGUGGUUACUUGAGAUGGUCAGAAAAAUCCUUUUUGAUGAGGGGAUAUUUUAAUGGAGCCCCAAAUGAAUUGAAGAGAUGAACCAUGUAGCUUCCUUGAGAAAUAUAAGCUUCUCAUUCUACUGCCUUCCAGCUUCUGCCCCUCUUACAUUGGUGAGAAUAUCAUUUAUAAAGGUCACAGCAUCAUUAAGUGGUAGCUUCUUGUCUUGGACUAAAGAUUUUUGGUCUCAAGACAGAAUGUCAUCAGCAUCACAGGCUGUUAGAGCUUGAGGCGACCAUAGACAUCAUCUAAUCUAGUUCCUAGUUUUAAAGAGAAGGUAGCUAAGAAAGAUUUAGGUUAAUUGGUUUAAGUAACAAGGUGGAAUAAUGAUAAAAUGGUGAUCAUAACCUGGGUCUCCUGGCUCCUACUGUUGUGCUGUUUAGGACUGAGUUUUUGAGUAAUGAAAUUGAAAUAGGACCUCUGGAACCUUUUAGGAAUUAAGAAAAAAUAUACAUACAUGUUUACUUCAUUGUGGCCGUCUUCAGAAAUAUGUUUCAAAUGAACCGUUUUUCUCUUUACACUGCAGAAUCUAUCUAAUCUUUCAGAAACAUAUUUGAAGUGAUUUCCACAUGUAAAUAUACUUUAAAUUUUAGUUUCCCAAUACUUUAGAACAUUUUUGACAUUAUAGACAUGAUACAUGCACAUAUGUACAUGUGCAUGUGCAGGGUGGGAGUAUAGGUACAUCUCUUUGUCAUUAAUUCUGUGUGUAACUUUGGUGUUCACAAAUUGGAUUCACAGAACCCCCAAAUUUCCUUGUCUGUAGUUGUAAAUAGCAUAAAAAGAUUUUUUUUUUCCUUUUUAUGGCCACACCUGUAGUGUAUGGAAGUUACCAGGCUAGGGGUCAAAUUGGAGCUGUAGCUGCUGGCCUACACCACAGCCAUAGUAACGCCAGAUCUGAGCUGUGUCUGCAACCUAUACCACAGCUCACAGCAGUGCCGGAUCCUUAACCCACUGAGUGAGGCUAGGGGUCGAACUCGGGUCCUCAUGGAUACUAGUCUGAUUUGUUUCAGCUGUGUCACAUCGUUAACUCCCACAUUUUCUAGAGCAUCUUUAAGGAAUCAGAAUAAGUCUUAAGCUCAUCUUUGGCAGAUAAGUGCUAAGACUUCCUUCCUUUAUGGAUGCAAGUACCUGCACAUUCUUCAAGGUUAAUAGCUUAGUAGUAUAAUUUUAUUAUUGUUUUGUUAUAUCAAUAAAGCUUUCUUUUAUAGAUAUCCUUUAAAUAGACCAGUUAUUUCUUUUUAAUAUGUUCAUAAUUAAUUUUAAAUGAAUAUAAUAAUUAUGUUAUAGAUAUCCUUUCAGUAUAUCAGAUAAUUGUUUUUAAUAAUUAUUUUAAAAAAUAUACAAAAUUGUCAGCCAAAGCCUUUAAAAUGGAUUCUGCAGUUACACAGAUUCUGGUUGGUUCCCUUUUUAAUCGUGCCUGGCCUGAUUAGUUUAGUCUUUAUUCCUUAAUUGGAAAGUAUCCUAAAGCACAUUUAUAGGCUGUUUAUUACAGUUGAAGACACAGCAUAAUAAAUCACUCUUUCAAUGUUUUUUGGGGAAAAGUACACAAGUGAAUACAUACUGCCAAUUUAAAACAGUCUUUCACUAAAGAAAACAUGGCAUUCCUCUCAAGGAAAGUGUUCUGUAACAAUUUCACACACAGGUGAAAUGUAUUUGGAGUAUCCUAAGUUUUGUAUUAUGCAUUCUUGUUGCCAUUCUCAGACUAAUGGUACUCUUCAUAGCAAGCCUGAGUAGCUCCAAGAGAAGAAUGUAGCUAAAUACUAUAUUAGAAUACAUACAAUUGAACCAACAGGAAAGUGUUCAUUUUUCUAAGCAUAGGAUUACUAACAGAAUGCCAGAAUUAAAGGUCAGUUUCGGAAUGAGCUCUCAUUUAGUGAAGUUUAUAAACAAGCACAUAUUAUACAAGGACAGAAAAAUCAAUUGAAAAAAAAUCUAAGUUGUGCUUUUGAAGAAAUAUAUAUCUUACUUAACUAAAAAUACAUGAACUUUUUUGACCCCAAAUAUAUAGUUUUUCACAUAUUUUUUUUCCAGAUGCUCCCAAUGUGAAAUGAAGGCAAAAAUCAAACAAAAGUGUUUUCAGAAGAGAAAUAUGUGGGGAGCUUAUGUGAAAAUACAAAAAGAUGAAGGAGUCCAAAUAGAAAUUCUAGAUAUAUUGAAUAGAAGAGAAAAUAGUGCACAACAGCCUCUCUAGCCUUGUGUUCUUGGGAUCAAAGCCUUUAUUCCUUGUGUUUGGUGGAGUCCUUUGGUUACUGAGCUCCCUUGAACAAAAUCUAUAAUCAAAUUAACUCAAAACAUGUGCAAUUAUGAACCAUCUCAUCUCAGAGUAGGACUUCAUUGUGUUUAUUUUCUUUAAAUAUCAAAGACAGGCUGCAUAAUUCUCAAAACACCACAUAAAGUUUAGAUGUUUCUUUUCUCACAGAAUAUAUUUUUUUCAUUUUCAUGAUACAUUUUAUUACAAAAUUAGACAGGAGCAGUCAAGGAGAGAGAGAGAGGAGAGAAACCCCCAGAGACUGUUUACUUUCUUGGCUAACAAAAAAGAGAAGCCUCACUUUUAAUAAUUUUAUUUCUUUGCUGUAUUCUGUAUAUGAUCUGUCUGAGACCAGACAGGGAAAGAAAAAUACAUUUCAUUGUUUUUCAACUAAAAGAUUUGAAGUUUAUUUACACAUUAUUUUCAGAGUAAUUUUCCUUUUAUUUUUAGAUAAUCAAUUUUCAGAUACUCAAAAUUAACAUCUAGUUAGUAUGUCAUAAAUAUACAGUUCCGAAUGGUGAAGGAAGGAGGCACGCUGUUACCCAUGUGGACCUAGAAUGAUGAACGUGAGGAUAAGGAAAGGAGGGAGUCAGAAAGAUUACAAAACUGAGCUUGUGGGCCAUGAGUCCGGGUGAUGGGAGUUAGAAGGAAAGGCACAUGUUUCACUGCUAUGAGCUUCACACACUGUUCCCUGCUUGUGUGUCUACUGAUGCGCUUGCAGCCCUGAAAUUUAUGGAAAGGGCAAGAGAAAGCAAGGCCUCUCUUGAUAUAAUCCAUCUCAUUGCCAUCAUGGAACAAGUGUUACUAAGUGGUCGUGACUUCAUCAAGAUGCUGUCUGAACAGUGACAAACCACCAGUUUUAUUUCUCCAAGGAGAAACUUGGGUAGCUCAUAUGAAGAGUAUAGACAUCAAAGACCACAAUAAUAGUGUAAGUGUCCUAGAGAAUAUAUAUGGCUAUGCUUAAGCUGUUUGAAUAU
rnacentral:lncRNA from 1 species